GCCAGGAGACUACUAGCAUAGCUUAAAACUCAAAGGACUUGGCGGUGCUUUAUAUCCCUCUAGAGGAGCCUGUUCUAUAAUCGAUAAACCCCGAUAAACCUCACCACCUUUCGCUAAUUCAGUCUAUAUACCGCCAUCUUCAGCAAACAAA
rnacentral:rRNA from 1 species